rnacentral:rRNA from 1 species
GACAGAGGUGCCGAGCGUUAGGCGGAAUCACUGGGCUUAAAGCGUGUGUAGGCGGGCCGUUAAGUGUCUUGUGAAAUCCCCCGGCUCAACCGGGGAAUGGCUGGGCAUACUGACGGUCUUGAGCAGUUCAGGGGCAGAUGGAACAAGUGGUGGAGCGGUGAAAUGCGUAGAUAUCGGAAAGAACACCAAGGGCGAAGGCACUCUGCUGG